rnacentral:rRNA from 1 species
UACGGGGGGGGCAAGCGUUGUUCGGAAUUACUGGGCGUAAAGGGCUCGUAGGCGGCCAACUAAGUCAGACGUGAAAUCCCUCGGCUUAACCGGGGAACUGCGUCUGAUACUGGAUGGCUUGAGUUUGGGAGAGGGAUGCGGAAUUCCAGGUGUAGCGGUGAAAUGCGUAGAUAUCUGGAGGAACACCGGUGGCGAAGGCGGCAUCCUGGACCAACACUGACGUUGAGGAGCGAAAGCCAGGGGAGCAAACGGG